UACGUAGGGUGCAAGCGUUGUCCGGAAUUAUUGGGCGUAAAGAGCCCGUAGGCGGUUUGUCGCGUCUGCUGUGAAAACCCGAGGCUCAACCUCGGGCCUGCAGUGGGUACGGGCAGACUAGAGUGCGGUAGGGGAGAUUGGAAUUCCUGGUGUAGCGGUGGAAUGCGCAGAUAUCAGGAGGAACACCAAUGGCGAAGGCAGAUCUCUGGGCCGUAACUGACGCUGAGGAGCGAAAGCAUGGGGAGCGAACAGG
rnacentral:rRNA from 1 species